rnacentral:rRNA from 1 species
AUUGAACGCUGGCGGCAUGCCUUACACAUGCAAGUCGAACGGUAACAGGUCUUCGGAUGCUGACGAGUGGCGAACGGGUGAGUAAUACAUCGGAACGUGCCCAGUCGUGGGGGAUAACUACUCGAAAGAGUAGCUAAUACCGCAUACGAUCUGAGGAUGAAAGCGGGGGACCUUCGGGCCUCGCGCGAUUGGAGCGGCCGAUGGCAGAUUAGGUAGUUGGUGGGAUAAAAGCUUACCAAGCCGACGAUCUGUAGCUGGUCUGCGAGGACGACCAGCCGAACUGGGACGGAGGUACGGCCCAGACUCCUACGGGAGGCAGCAGUGGGGAAUUUUGGACAAUGGGCGAAAGCCUGAUCCAGCAAUGCCGCGUGCAGGAUGAAGGCCUUCGGGUUGUAAACUGCUUUUGUACGGAACGAAAAAGCUUCUCCUAAUACGAGAGGCCCAUGACGGUACCGUAAGAAUAAGCACCGGCUAACUACGUGCCAGCCGCCGCGGUAAAAC